UACGGAGGAUGCGAGCGUUAUCCGGAUUUAUUGGGUUUAAAGGGUGCGCAGGCGGCACGGCAAGCCGGCGGUCGAAUCGCGGGGCUCAACCCCGCCCAGCCGUCGGAACUGCCGGGCUAGAGUGGGCGAGAAGUGCGCGGAAUGCGUGGUGUAGCGGUGAAAUGCAUAGAUAUCACGCAGAACUCCGAUUGCGAAGGCAGCGCACCGGCAUCCAACUGACGCUGAGGCACGAAAGCGUGGGGAUCAAACAGG
rnacentral:rRNA from 1 species